rnacentral:rRNA from 1 species
GACGAACGCUGGCGGCGUGCCUAAUACAUGCAAGUCGAACGCAGUGGGGACUGGUGAGUACCACGUUGGUAACCUCCCCAUCAGAGGUGAUAACACUUGGAAACAGGUGCUAAACCGAUACUGAUGGAUGAACCCGCGGUGCAUUAGCUAGUUGGUGAGGUAACGGCUAACAAAGGCCACGAUGCAUACCAGGACUGAGAGGGUGAUCGCGCACAGUGGGACUGAGACACGGCCCAGACUCCUACGGGAGGCAGCAGUAGGGAGUCUUAGGCAAUGGACGAAAGUCUGACCGAGAAACGCGGCGUGAGUGAAGAAGGUUUUCGGAUCGUAAAACUCUGUUGUUAGAGAAGCGGUAUCUAACCAGAAAGCCACGGCUAACUACGUGCCAGCCGCCGCGGUAAGAC